GCUGCUCUGAUAAUCACACACCUCUCCGUGGUGAGCAGCAGGCAACGAUCUUAUGAACGGUGGAUCGGCGAAGAUGUGA
rnacentral:ribozyme from 1 species